ACUGUGCUACUAUUCAUUCAAGGCUCUACUGUUCAUUCGCGGCUGAAUUGAAUGACGCUUUUGCCCUUGGUACUUGCGUGAAUUACAGUCGUUCUAGAAUCCUCUCUUUUCUGGGUUUUGCUCUCACUUUUUUUUCUUAACUACGGCUCUGCGAUUCAGUCGUUCUAAAAUCCUCUCUUUUUUGGGUUUUUUUUUUCCUCGACACAGAGAGAAAAGGAGAGUUUGUUUCCGCCGUGCCUAGAAUAGCCCAGUCGUUAUUGCUGAUGAAAAACAUCCCUGGAGAUUGGGGUUUUGUUUGCUGCAUCUCUUAUGGCAAUCUGGAUUUUUCAGAAAAAGAAGAAGGGGUUUUAUUUUCAGCAAAAGCAACUUCCAGGUUGGAGCUAUUGUUGGACUUGAUCAAUAUGUCAACUACUUCAAAAUUCAGCUGAGGAUACAACAGAGGAUUAAAAGCGCAGAGCUCAGGAUGUUAACCAAGGAGCAAGAAAAUGAACUUCUGAACUUUACACCAUUCAUUCCAUUGAUGUCUCCCUUGUUGUAGUGAAGUUGAUCCCAUAGUAGCAUCCUUCUCUGCAGGAGCAUCAGAGAUGUAAAUAUUGUCUUGGAACUGCUUAUGGCUCAUUUUCUGAUGCAAUGACUAUAAUUUAACAAAGAUCUCCUGUUGUUAAGGGGAUGAUGAUUGAAUUUGCUAAGAACUCAGUUGAUUAUGCUACUGCCAGCGCCCAGCGGAAAGAAGCAUGUUAUAUUGUUUUCAAGCUUAAACUUUCGGGGGUGGCAGAGAAUUAAUGUACCUCCUUUGUGCUCUAUAGCUUUACAUGAUUUCUUCUGUUGGUAAAUAUGCAAGCAUUUUUUUUAAUAUAAGUCAAUACUUAGUUGCAAAGACAAUAUCAGUAGGAGUUACAUUCUUUUGUAAUGUGUAAAAUGACAAAUUUUUCAGUUAUUGAUUUUA